CACCAUGAUGUGAGUGACCCUCAGGGAUAGCAGUGCUCCAUCUCUCUGGCCAGCGCUUCUGCAGAGCAGCAGAGGGGCUGGGGUCUCUGGGCACGGCCAUGCAGAGUGGGCUCCACCAACACCUCCGGCUUCUGCUGGAGGCUUCCUCCCCUUGGCCCGUCGCUCACCCCUUUCCUGAGUGACACAGCAGGACAGGGGGUGGUGGGCCAGUAGGGAAGGCUGCAGGCAGGAACGCCCACGGAGCAGUCCCCGGGCUCUCUGUUACCUCCACCACCCACCCUGGCCUAGGGCCUGAGGACUGCUGGGCUUCCUCCUGCCUGGGGGUUUCCGGUGGUCAAGUCCACUGUGCCCAGCCGUCCAGAAAACAGGAGCCACCUGCCCGUGUAACACGGUGGGGCUUUUAAUCCACAGGAGCCUCAACACCUGUGCUCCUGGGACUUCCUCUUUUAGGGGGAACAUGUGGAACCUUGGUCCCUUCAGGAGGGGCAGUCCCCACCCGCCAGUCGCCCAGGGCAUCACCCUCUGAGCCCCUCUCAGUCCCCAGUGUCUGAGGGUGCCAAGGGCCUGCGGUUCCUGUCUCAGGCAGU
rnacentral:lncRNA from 1 species